AGUGAACGCUGGCGGUAGGCCUAACACAUGCAAGUCGAACGGCAGCACAGUAAGAGCUUGCUCUUACGGGUGGCGAGUGGCGGACGGGUGAGGAAUACAUCGGAAUCUACUUUUUCGUGGGGGAUAACGUAGGGAAACUUACGCUAAUACCGCAUACGACCUACGGGUGAAAGCAUGGGAUCUUCGGACCUUGCGCGAUUGAAUGAGCCGAUGUCGGAUUAGCUAGUUGGCGGGGUAAAGGCCCACCAAGGCGCCGAUCCGUAGCUGGUCUGAGAGGAUGAUCGGCGACACUGGAACGGAGACACGGUCCAGACUCCUACGAGAGGGAGCAGAGGGGAAUAUUGGACAAUGGGCGCAAGCCUGAUCCAGCCAUCCUGCGUGGGUGAAGAAGGCCUUCGGGUUGUAAAGCCCUUUUGUUGGGAAAGAAAAGCAGCAGGUUAAUACCCCGCUGUUCUGACGGUACCCAAAGAAUAAGCACCGGCUAACUUCGUG
rnacentral:rRNA from 1 species